rnacentral:rRNA from 1 species
CGGAGGGCGUCGGGGGGGAGGAGCGCGGAAAUUAGCGUAGCGCUGCGCGGUGAUGUCGUAAUCAUCGGCGAAUUAACCAAACGAGCUGCCGCGGAAACGGAGCGUUGAGGGUUGGAGGGGGGCGCAGGCGAGGGGACGGGGGAGCGCGUCGUUCUUUGCCCUUCGGUUCCCUCACGCCGCCGCCCGCCGCCGAUCCCAAGCCUUUACCGCCGGUCACCUCGGCCUCGCCUCCCGCUCCUCGACGCCGACGAGCGGCGGCAGCUCCGGCCGCUGCGGCCGCGCGGGCGCCCCCUCUUCAGCACCGCGGAGUUGAAGCUGCCGAACGCGGGCGGCCUCCGCGUCGUCCUCUCCGGGCGGGCUCCCGAGGUGGUGGUGACGGAGCCGCAGUAUCCAGUUCGAGGACUCCUACAACAGCGACUUAUGAUGGUUGUCGUUCACCUUUACGACCUCCCAAAGUUACUUUACCUACGCGACUGUCUAGCACCAAAAGAAGGACCUUACAGGUUCCUUCUCGCACUUGUCCAACGAUCCUCACUUUGUAAUCGGUAGGCCGACAGUUUGUAACGUUUGUACCAAGAAAAACGACGUUUUCACAUACGAAGUCAUGCAUCACCGAGCGAACGAUAAUAUCGAAGGUGAAACCUAAGAGAAGAACUGAACAAUAGCCCCAAGUAGAAUACCAAAUGACGUAAAAGAUACGUUUGUGGUUUAGGGAUGUCUAUGGGUUAACCAUUUUUCGCGUACGUCGGCGACCCUUAUGAACAGAAACGGAGUCAGUACCGUUGCGAACCGGAAGUCUAGUAGAAUCUUAGUUGAGCUAGUGACAACAGACUACCACCACUUAAGUCGAACUGCUUCCUCGUCCUUUUCACCCAACACCUGUAGUACGAGAGUCACUGCGACCACUUUGAACGGGACCGAAAUAUAACGGCGUGCAAGUGGUUGCUUUAGCAGUUCCGAAUACGCGUCCUAGUGUAAAAGCUACAAUAGUGAUUAUAUUAACCGGAACACCGACGUGACGAGCGUUUAAUAAAACUUCCUACCUAGCUGGGUCAACCACGUUAAUAAGAUCGUUAGAUGUGGUAGUCCUGUACCAGGUACUGCCACGACCUUUUGCAUGUGAGCGAGCAGCCCGUCAGCCGAAGCGGUCUCAUGGAAGUCUUCGACUGGAUGGAAACGACCUUGGUGGUGUUCCGGCACUCCGUGUAGCUGUGCCACGCACGGAUGUGCAAGCCGAGCGUGAUGAAGCACCUCCACCUGUAGCACGACGGCCGGCCAUACGGCGACGUCCUCCGCGUGCUGUAGCCGCUCCGGGACGUCCUCUUCGACCUCGCGGACGGACUCUAGCUCGCGCGGAAGCACGUGGAACUAAUGCUCAAGUGGGUAGCCGGACUCGUGCGAGACAGGGUGCUGUUCAUCGAAGUCCAAGUCGGCCACCUACGUCGAGACAUGUCUAAUUACCGUUAUCAAAGUCUUUAGGCCCACAAGCAGUUCCGCAGCGUCUUUUUGGACGCCCACGUCGUGCCUUGACUUUACACGUAUGACCUCACGGCCUAGACCGCUACAGCUGCAUCUAACACAGAAAACAUUCAACGACAUGAUGCAUGCAUCACAACUCUUGGUUUUGUUUUACUUACCUUGAGAGGAGAGAAAGUAACUACUAAGAUGUAUAUAUCCAUGUCCCUCCUGCGGAGUAACCUCUCCGCAGACAUACACUUGGCCGUGCUGCCAACGGCUUUAUCGUAGGUAGCUGCCAAUUAUGUCCAUCGUAGUAGUAGAACUUUCUAAGAGGAGGUUUUUGGAACACCCUUUUUAUACUCCUCACCACAUCUUAUACAACGAUUUUGAGGAAGUUUGGGUUACCCUUUUUAUUUCUCUUUUACUACGUUGUAUAUUACUAAUAACAGAGAAAGUUGAGUUAUGCUCUUUUGGGUAUCUCAAAUCUCCUGUUAUUUAUACAGCAUAUAUGAAAGGAUUUUUGGGGCCACCCCUUUUGUCUUUCAUACUGUAUACUAGAGUACAACUAUAAUGGAGUAAUUUUUGGAAAUACUCUUGAACAUUUCAUUUGAGUACUUCCCUUUUUCUCAUAUUAUACUACGAAACUUGUCCUUGUUAAGUCCUUCUAUGAGGGGGACUAAGAACGUUUAAGGUUUCGGCAGUCUAUGGUUAAGGUACUUGUACAAAGACCUUACAUUUUCAACCAUCUCUGAACCACUUGUUUAGUCAACGUACUAAACUGAACGUUCUACGUUAUAUCACUAUAACGAAUAAUACAUUGUACAAACAUAGUCCCGUUGUGUUCUUUGUAAUAGCAACUCUAUUACUAACCACUUACAUCGGUACUCCAGACAAAGUUUCUGAGGUACUCUCCCGAUGGUGUGGAUCAUCCUUGUGAUUUGAACAGAUGCUAGACUGUAUCACCCUACUAGCUACAUAGGUUACUAUAACCACAAGUCUAAAGAGGCUUUGACUUUUUGGUCCUGUUCUACAAAGUACGGAACCUCUAUAGCUUUCUAUAAGAAUUCAUGGUUGGUUAACACAAACUGCCUAGGUUACCGUAAUACCUUGUAACUCAGGGUUAUAGAGUAAAGGUGGUAGAGAACCAGAUUUAUCUAGAAAGAGAUGUAAAUCUCUUACUUGAUGGUACUCUCAAUACCUACCUAUUCUAAACAGGUAUUAUUCAAAGAGGUUAUACAAAACCUAUAUCUGUUGUACUACAUGGUAUUACAUACUUACUUCCACGAGUUCAACAUCAUUGCUCGUCACAAAACCAAAUGGGUCUAGGAAGUAAAAUUUAAGGCAGUAAAUCUACUAAUGUACACAGCAGUAACGUCUGUGUGUUUGUACCUAUUAGUAGUAACAUCCUCAUUAGGAACACCUUUCUUUUAGUAAUUCAGCCAACAUGGUUUACAUGGCUGUUGUUAUUCAGCCUACCACUGAAUUACUAAAAUGUGUUACAUACAACGUAAACCAUAAAGCUAAGUCUUAACUCUAAGGUAGCCCUUAGUUAGUAUAUACAGACUUAGAUCACUACGUGUACCUAUACAUUAGUGAUGUAGAUAGUUGACGUCUCUAUCUACUAAAAGAUGACGGUUACUAUAUUCAAUAGCCUUUCUCUAAGGUGGAGACCUCUUAUCAACCCAUAGACGCACUUGGGAAUACGAUGUUAUGAACGAGAAACAAAAGUG